rnacentral:rRNA from 1 species
GACGUAGGUGGCGAACGUUAUCCGGAAUUAUUGGGCGUAAAGGGUGCGUAGAUGGCUUGAUAAGUUACUGGUCGAUGCCAAACUCAAUUUGACGGAAGCUGGUAAUACUGUUCUGCUUGAGGGCAGGAGAGGUUGAUGGAAUUCUGUGUGGAGCGGUGAAAUGCGUUGAUCUACAGAGGAACACCAAAAAAGGCGAAGGCAGUUAACUAUUCUGUUCCUGACAUUGAGGCAUGAAAGCGUGGGGAGCAAACCGG